GGAUUAGAUACCCUGGUAGUCCACGCCGUAAACGAUGUCAACUAGCCGUUGGGAGCAUUUAAGCUUUUAGUGGCGCAGCUAACGCAUUAAGUUGACCGCCUGGGGAGUACGCGCGCAAGCGUAAAACUCAAAGGAAUUGACGGGGGCCCGCACAAGCGGUGGAGCAUGUGGUUUAAUUCGAUGCAACGCGAAGAACCUUACCAGCCCUUGACAUCCUCGGAACUUUCUAGAGAUAGAUUGGUGCCUUCGGGAACCGAGUGACAGGUGCUGCAUGGCUGUCGUCAGCUCGUGCCG
rnacentral:rRNA from 1 species